GCGGGUUACGAGCUUGAUUCGGGCUCGGCCCGAUCCUCCCACCCUUUGUGUACCUACCUCUGUUGCUUUGGCGGGCCGCGGUCCUCCGCGGCCGCCCCCCUCCCCGGGGGGGUGGCCAGCGCCCGCCAGAGGACCAUCAAACUCCAGUCAGUAAACGAUGCAGUCUGAAAAACAUUUAAUAAACUAAAACUUUCAACAACGGAUCUCUUGGUUCUGGCAUCGAUGAAGAACGCAGCGAAAUGCGAUAAGUAAUGUGAAUUGCAGAAUUCAGUGAAUCAUCGAAUCUUUGAACGCACAUUGCGCCCUUUGGUAUUCCGAAGGGCAUGCCUGUUCGAGCGUCAUUACAACCCUCAAGCUCUGCUUGGUAUUGGGCACCGUCCUUUGCGGGCGCGCCUCAAAGACCUCGGCGGUGGCGUCUUGCCUCAAGCGUAGUAGAACAUACAUCUCGCUUCGGAGCGCAGGGCGUCGCCCGCCGGACGAACCUUCUGAACUUUUCUCAAGGUUGACCUCGGAUCAGGUAGGGAUACCCGCUGAACUUAAGCAUAUCAAUAAGCGGAGGA
rnacentral:rRNA from 1 species